rnacentral:rRNA from 1 species
UACGGGGGGGGCAAGCGUUGUUCGGAAUUACUGGGCGUAAAGGGCUCGUAGGUGGCCAACUAAGUCAGACGUGAAAUCCCCAGGCUCAACUUGGGAACUGCGUCUGAUACUGGAUGGCUUGAAUUCGGGAGAGGGAUGCAGAAUUCCAGGUGUAGCGGUGAAAUGCGUAGAUAUCUGGAGGAAAACCGGUGGCGAAGGCGGGACUCUGGGCCGAGGGCCGACGCUGAGGCGCGAGAGCGUGGGGAGCGAACCGG